CCCCGACUGCUAUUUGGGUGAGAAUAAGCCAUGCAAGUUGAAUGGAAUGCCAAAAUAUUCCAUAGCAAACUGCUCAAUAACACGUAAUCAACUUACCCUAUGGAAAACAAUAACCUCUGGAAACGGAGGAUAAUGGUUUAUAGUUGAAAAGGCUUGGAAAAGUUUUUCAAUAAAAGGGAAUAAUAAAAAUGGUUAUUAUUUUGCCAUAGGAUAGGAUUGCGGUCGAUUAUGGCUGUUGGCGAGGUAAUGGCUCACCAAACCAAUAAUCGAUAGGGGCCGUGAGAGCGGGAGCCCCGAGAUGGGUACUGAGACAACGACCCAGGCCUUACGAGGUGCAGCAGGCGCGAAAACUCCGCAAUACACGAAAGUGUGACGGGGUUACCCAAAGUGCUUAAUAUUUAAGCUGUGGUAAGUGUGUAAUGUACCUUACUAGAAAGGAGAGGGCAAGGCUGGUGCCAGCCGCCGCGGUAAAACCAGCUCUUCAAGUGGUCGGGAUAUUUAUUGGGCUUAAAGUGUCCGUAGCUUGUAUAAUAAGUUCCUGGUAAAAUCUAAUAGCUUAACUAUUAGUAUGCUAGGAAUACUGUUAUACUAGAGGGCGGGAGAGGUUUGAGGUACUUCAGGGGUAGGGGUGAAAUCCUAUAAUCCUUGAAGGACCACCAGUGGCGAAGGCGUCAGACUGGAACGCGCCUGACAGUGAGGGACGAAAGCCAGGGGAGCGAACCGGAUUAGAUACCCGGGUAGUCCUGGCCGUAAACGAUGCACACUAGAUGUUGGUAUGGCUAUGAGCCAUAUCAGUGCCGAAGGGAAACCAUUAAGUGUGCCGCCUGGGAAGUACGGUCGCAAGGCUAAAACUUAAAGGAAUUGGCGGGGGAGCACCACAAGGGGUGAAGCCUGCGGUUC
rnacentral:rRNA from 1 species